CCAGGGCUCUCUUCAUCGCACCACUGCGUCUGGUAGCCAGCAUCAUCCCACUACCUGACACUGCCCAACUGGACUUUCGAUGACGCUUAUGAGUGACGGGGGCCAAUUCAUUUUUUUCCUUGAAAGUCACUGGCAUCCAGUUUUGCUUUGGAUCUCUUUGGAGUUUUGUUAUAGACAAAAAUACAUUUCCACAAAAGACUGUCAGACAGGUACAACAUAAAGCGUCUCACCAUUUCUAAUGUGGCUACAUCACUUCUCCUCGACAUCUUCUCCUCUCCCUUUGCAUCUACGCCUGAGGUUUUCAGUGUGGGAGUGCACGCAAUACCUUCGGAUUGAGUUUCCAAUACAUGGACAUGGCUGCUCUCCUCACCGCCUGUUCAAACUUACUCUCUGAGGACAGCCUUCUCACUUCCUGUGCAUUCUCUGGUGUGAUGCCUGCCAGUAGAGAAGUAUAAAAGGAUGCAUUGGGGAUUAUUAUAAACAACUGAUCAAUUACCAUUACAACAGUUUUUUUCCAGAUUAUAUUGGCAUAACUUGCAAUUGAAAGCAUUUUCUCAAUGUUCCACAUUUUCUCCACUUCCCCUCACCUUUCU